CUAUCUGCCGUGGGCGCUGGAGAAUUGAGGGGGGCUGCUCCUAGUACGAGAGGACCGGAGUGGACGCAUCACUGGUGUUCGGGUUGUCAUGCCAAUGGCACUGCCCGGUAGCUAAAUGCGGAAGAGAUAAGUGCUGAAAGCAUCUAAGCACGAAACUUGCCCCGAGAUGAGUUCUCCCUGAGACUUUAAGUCUCCUGAAGGAACGUUGAAGACGACGACGUUGAUAGGCCGGGUGUGUAAGCGCAGCGAUGCGUUGAGCUAACCGGUACUAAUGAACCGUGAGGCUUAACCUUACAACGCCGAAG
rnacentral:rRNA from 1 species